rnacentral:rRNA from 1 species
UACGUAGGGGGCAAGCGUUGUCCGGAAUCAUUGGGCGUAAAGAGCGUGUAGGCGGCUCGGUAAGUCCGCUGUGAAAGUCCAGGGCUCAACCCUGGAAUGCCGGUGGAAACUGUCGAGCUAGAGUCCGGAAGAGGCGAGUGGAAUUCCUGGUGUAGCGGUGAAAUGCGCAGAUAUCAGGAGGAACACCAAUGGCGAAGGCAGCUCACUGGGACGGUAUUGACGCUGAGACGCGAAAGCGUGGGGAGCAAACAGG